rnacentral:rRNA from 1 species
AGUGAACGCUGGCGGUAGGCCUAACACAUGCAGGUCGAACGGCAGCACAGUAAGAGCUUGCUCUUACGGGUGGCGAGUGGCGGACGGGUGAGGAAUACAUCGGAAUCUACUUUUUCGUGGGGGAUAACGUAGGGAAACUUACGCUAAUACCGCAUACGACCUACAGCUGAAAGCAGGGGAUCUUCGGACCUUGCGCGAUUGAAUGAGCCGAUGUCGGAUUAGCUAGUUGGCGGGGUAAAGGCCCACCAAGGCGACGAUCCGUAGCUGGUCUGAGAGGAUGAUCAGCCACACUGGAACUGAGACACGGUCCAGACUCCUACGGGAGGCAGCAGUGGGGAAUAUUGGACAAUGGGCGCAAGCCUGAUCCAGCCAUACCGCGUGGGUGAAGAAGGCCUUCGGGUUGUAAAGCCCUUUUGUUGGGAAAGAAAAGCAGCAGGUUAAUACCCCGCUGUUCUGACGGUACCCAAAGAAUAAGCACCGGCUAACUUCGUG